GAGGGGGGGGGUGGAGACCCUCCCUCAGCAGAGGUGGACGAGUGCACCUGAGUGAGCCUUCCUGAGCACAGAGGGGUCUCCGCCCCGCGCAGGCCCCGUUAUGGCUGAAGUCUGAGGGCGCGUUGCUCCUCUGCCAGACCCACCGCAACACCUCCCUUGUCAGAAUAAAAUCACGGUCUUUACCCGGGGCCAGCAGGCCCGCUGUGAUCUGGCCCCCACCAUCUGCCAUCACCUCCUACAAGCGCUUUGCCCCACCAGCCACGCGGCCUCCAGGCUGUUCCCGCUGCCCUAGGGCCUGUGCACGGCGUUCCCUUGGCCGGGAACACACCGUCCCAUACACCGGCGGGCUGUUUCACCUCCCUCAGCCUUGCUCUGGUGUCACCUUCCCAGGAGGCCUUCCCCAACCACUCCAGCUGGAAAGGCAGGCCCACCCAGCGCUCCCCACCCCCUUUCUGUGCUCCUACCCUCACCUAAUUCUGGGAUACUGUGGUUUUUAUCAUUUUCCUGUCCACUAGGAUGCACAUUCCCAGAAGGCAGAGAUUUCUUUUUUCCCUCUCUACCUCGGUACUCACAAACGGUGCCUGGCAGACAACAGGUGCUCAGUAAAUAUUUGGCAAACGAGUGACCUGUGCCCCAUGAGUGUAAAUGUGGAUAGCUGUGGCCCCCGGCCACGGGGCAUAAUAAAGAGCUCCUUUUGGAGAUAGCUCCUGGGUGUCUCCCCCUAGAAAGGGGCAGACGCGGAUGACUCAGCCUGAAGGCGUGCUGAAGGCGUGCUGUUUGAUGAUUACAGGAAACAAAACAAAAGGUGAUUUGGAACACCAAGAAACAACUUGCAGAGGCCUGCUCCUUGAUGUCCGGGUGGCACUAGCUGGGACCAAAUGACACGCCCAGAAUCUGAUUGCCUCAAUAGACUGGUCGGACUUCAAGAACUUCACUCUUUACGGAGGCCGUCCUGGGGCGGGACUGAGACAGACCUUGAACCCCCAGCCCUCAACACGGCGGAGUGGAGCCCCAGGGGGAGACAGCCCUCAUCCUAGCCUACUGGGGCCUCUGGAGCCACCUUCAGUCAGCCCUUUCUGAGGACCUGCAUUACCGAGGAGCCCCAUCACCCCUGGGACCGUCUCAGCAUUCGGAAUUGAGUCCUCUCGGGUUUUGCCACGGUUUGGAAAGAGCAUUCGCUCCACAGGGCCGUGGGGGCCUGAAGAGUUGAGGUAAAGUUGCAGAAAGUGGGGAGAGCCCAGGUAGAGAGCCUGUCUCCCUCACCCCAGGCUUCCCACACUCACCUCCUCUGGGAAGCCUUCCCGGAUGCCCCUGUAUUCUCCGAACUUUCCUGGCAUCUUCCAUGGAGACUUCCUCCCUGCCCCCUCUGCUCGUCUGGGGCCUGCUCUUCCUAGUGGCCCUGAGGCCCGACCACACGCAGUGCAGGGAUGAGGAACACUGGUCUGCUUCUAUGGGGUUCCGGCCCCGCUGGGAAGGGAGCCUUGGACGUCAGGAACAGCAGAGAAAGGACCAAUGUGUAAAUCAAGCUGCUGUUUUCCAGGCCCUAUGCUAAAGCACGUUACGCACAUUCUCCAAUUUAACCCUCGUGUAACCUUCUAAAACUGCCAUGAUUAUCAUCAUGUUAUAGAUGAGGACACUAAGACACACAGACGUUAAGCUGCUGAGGUCACACGGGCAGCACAUGCCAGAGCCCUACUUUGAGCCCCAACGGGCCACCUGUCAGAGCCAUCAUCCACGUGUGUGGCUCAGGGGUGGAGGCAGGCGAGGGGUGGCUUCCUGGAGAAGGGGGGGGCAUGCGGGCGGGGACAGGGGGGUGGGUGUGGACUAACCCCUAGUUCCCGCGUUUGAGGGUGUGAUUGCAGGCUAAGGGUUUGGGGCAGAAUUAUGGCCCCCCAAAUGUCCAUGUCCUGACCCAACCUGUGAAUACGUUAACUCCCACGUCAAAAGGGACUUGGCCAAUUUGGUCAAGUUAAGGAUCUCAAGAUCAUCCCGGAUUAUCCGGGUGGUCCCAUGUGGUCCCAAGGGUCCUUAUAGGAGGGAGGCAGGAGGGUCCGAGUGAGGGGAGAUGUGACAAGAGACAAAAGUCAGAGAGAGAGCGGAAGCCGUCACACCACCGAUGGAGGAGAGGCCACGCGCCGAGGAACCCAAGUGGCUUCCGGGGAAGCUGGGAAAGGCAAGGAAAGGGGUUCCCUCUGGAGCCUCCAGGGGGAACACAGCUCGGCCAACGCCUUGACUUUCGCCCCACGGGCCCGCUCUGGACUGCUGGCUUCCAGCGCUGGGAGAGAACACGUGUGUGUUCCAACGGCAGCGGCCAGAGCAGACACGGGGCUCGGGACAGCACCGCCCUUCAGAAAGCCAGAUUCAGUCCUACCUUCCGUCUUCCGGGCCCUGUGAUGGGUCUCGGGGACACAGUGGCCAGGGGGACACCGCCCCGGGCCCGCUGAACUAGGGGCCCCUCGAGCCGAGCAGGUUAUCAGUAAGUGGCAGCCGACAGAGCCCGCUCCCAGGCUGCACGCAGGGCCUCUGUUUAUCGGAAAGGGGCUUAUCUGGAUGGUGGGGCCGGGCUCUGCAGGGGCGAGGCGGUGCCCACUGCUGCCCACACGCCCCACGGGGGGUCCUCACCGCGCCGAGUGGGGGUCUCCACGGGCCUGCGGGGAGGCAUGAGGGGUCAGCACCGGCGCCGACACACAAGUGCCCGAACACCGCCCGGCACGUCCGCGGCUACACUGGCCCUGAACUGGAAAUGACCCGCAGGCCAUCCGCAGGGUGGCUCGGGGGACGCCUUCUCGCUCGGUGAGGCACUAGAACGGCCCCGAAAACAUCUGCUAAUUCUCAUCAGGCUCACACCGAGCCAGAGAGCACCUCUUGCACGACCCCGCUCAUGCAGUGUUCACAAGGAGGAAACACCAAUCUGCGUGUUGGACGUCAGGUGGGGCUGCCCGGCCAGGCGUGACUCGGGGCGCUGGGCUUCGGGAGAACUGGUGACAGUCCGCUGAGCGGUGUACUCAUGGACAGUGUCUUUUCUGAGUGCGCGUUUUAUUGCGAUGCUCAUGCAAGAAAAAGGAAAAGAAAAGAAACACGUAGAAAAGCAAAGUAAGAAAAUAAAAAUCACCCAUAAUUUCAUCCUCUGGAGACAGGAGCUGUGCACGCCCUUCAGAUUUAGGUGCCUCGUGACCAGAUAUAUUUUAUCAGUUAGAAUCUUUGGUGGCCGGUGGCAGAAGCUGACUCCGGCUAUCUGUGUUAAUUAAAGCACACUUUGCUGGAUCGGGAAUAUUCCCAGACUGCCACAGCUUCACACAGUGCACAUUUAUUUCCUGCCGGGAGGCCCCACACAGCUGUUCCAGCAGGUGGAGGGUGUGGGGGCCGCCUGGUUUCACUCAGCCACCCAGACGCCCAGGCUGAAGGUGGUUCUGGGUCUCGGGUCCCCCGUCCUCACGCAGCCACGGGCAGAGGAAGACAGCUGGUGCAGGAGGGGUCUCCGGGCGUGGCGUCCAGACCAUCCCUUUGCUCUCCGUUAGCCGAAUUCGGACCCGUGGCCACCUGCCAGGAGGCUGAGGCUCCAGCUUUGAGGGCCAGCGUCCCUCAACGUGCCCUGGGAGCCACGGAGCGGGAGGCAUUAAAAGGACAGCCGUCUGUAGCCAGGGAGACCGGCCACCGCAGCUGCCAGGGACCCUUCCCAGGCUCUGGGCCCCUCCCGCAGGGUUCAGCGUCUCAGACGAGAGCACUGGUGGUCAAGCCCGAAUCCUACCACAUCCCUGGCCUUCCAGUAACCCCGGUGCAGGGGGGGAAGGCUCUGCCAGGGUCGCCCCACUCUCUCUCCAGGGAGAGACCACUCUCUGAAGGGCUACUGGGACAGGAGAUCGGUGUGGACACUCAAAUAACCGUCUUUCAUAUUGUGCACUUCCCUGCGCUGUGUUGCUGGGCCUGGACCCUGUCCUUUGGCCGGUCCCACUCCCUGGGCCUCCCCCCACCAUCCCAGAGGCCACAGCCGCCCCAGGGUUUCUACAGGAUGGAGGGACGUCAAGGCCAAUCCGGUCAGUGGAACUGCCCAGAGGCCUCAUGGAAAGUAGCCACAUGGAGUCCAAGGUGGCUCAGCUUGGGCCACGUGUCACCAAAGUUUCCGUGUUACGCCCCCACGUAAACAAGAAGACGUCCCCAGUCCUCCCGUUGCCACAACGGUGACCAGCCCACAGAAAGCAGCGGGAGGGGAAGGGAAGGAGGGCCACAAAGGCAGAAUUCACCUCUCGUUCCCAGUCUGGAGGGAAAUGCCGACUGAAGCCUUGAGCCGUGACUCCCUUCACAAGAUGUGACUCCAGUGGACAAGACCGGUGACAGCUGGUGUCGGGGAGGCCGCAGAGCCGCUGGAACUCCUGCACGCUCAUGGCGGGGCUGCGCGAUGGCCGCUGAACAAUUAUCCCGUGAGUGGCUGGUGUGAGCUCUUCUGUGACCCUGCGGCGCCCUCGCAGGCAUUUGCUGAUGAGCAGAGAAGCCCUGGGUUCACACGAAGAUUGCACGCGGCUUUGUUCUGACAGGGGGGAGCCGGGAACGAUGGCACGUCCCUCAUCAGGAUCAGGGACGAACAAACUGCCGUCUGCUCGCACAACAGAACACCUCUCGUCAAUGCAAAGGAACCACUGCCCCCCACACAGCCACGGACAGACCUCAGAAACACGGUGAGCAAAAGCAGCCGGGCCGAAGGGACGCAUUCGCGGGGGUCCACCAGACGUGGGCUCAAGGCAGGCAGACCCUCCCCGUGGGGUCGGAGCUCAGGAGGAGCAAACUCGUGGGCGAUGGAAAUGCUCUCCGUCUUGAUGUGGGUGGUGGUCACCUGGGUACAUGUGCCAGGGGUCAUCGAGCCGUCCGCUUGUGCUGUGCCUUUGACCGCAUGUGAUUUAUAUUCUAAUAAAGUACCGUGAAAAUCUGUGA